CAAUAAAUAACCAGUAUUUUGGUCAAGAGAGCCCCAAUCACGCAAAUUUUCAUAAAUGACGACCAAAAUGAGUAUAUAAUAUAUAUUACAAUCAUGCCAUAGUUCACAUCAUCCAGGAAUUUAGAACAACUACAAAAGUGCUGCUAUGAAGUACUAUAACAACCAUUCACAUCAUCGAGGAACAUGUAAUUAGCUACAAAGACGAAGCGUUCCCUUUUUCCAACUUCUUGACCCUAGAGCUCCUAUAAAAGACAGGAAAUGAUCAUUAUCAUGGCUGUGAAUUCAGAAUGAAAGCAAUAUCCUUGAACAUACAACAACUAGGAAAAGAAUAUUGAAUAAAAUAAUAAAAAAAUACACAAGCAGCUAGGGGUCGAUCCUUAAGCUUGAGAGCACGAAUAACAGUAGCAACCAUGAGUAAAUAUUAGAAAUAGUAUAUUGGUGGAAAAAAAGUAAAUACCAGCAAGCUCCAAGAAGACUCCAAGAAAUUGCUGGCUCACAAUACAAUCAUGCUUUUGACAACAAAUACUACUAGAAUUAAGGAGCUGAACAUAUUCUAAGCAGUGUCAACACCAUGGCAGUAACAAUUAACAGUAGCAGCUAGCAGGACAUCAAUCAAGCACAACUAAGCUACUAAUGUUCACCAAAUUUAAAUUUUUUUCCAUCUAGUUAACAAAAGUACAACACCACACUUAGGAACUUGGAGCAAGAAAAAGAUCAUGUUGCUUAGGAGCUACCACAAAUGACACUGAUCAAGGGCAAAAACAAGUUGGUAUGAUAUCAUUCAUUCAUUCGUUCUCAUCACGAUCAUACAUCGAAUUCAUUAAUGGUUACGGAUUCAUUUCUUGACAUAGCAUUGGAAAAUCACAAGAAUAGUAUAUGAAUCAAAGUGUCCAGAUAAGUAGAUAACACAUGGAGGUUACAAUCACAUAGCAAAGGAAGAGUGGGAUAGACCGAGGACUUACCCUCUGGACAGAUCAAAGGCUUCAUGCUUCCUCACACUUCUUCUUCCUCGAUGGACAAAUCAAUGACUUCACUUCCUCUUCCUCAUGCACCAACAGGAAGACCAUCUCAAACACCUUAGUGCCAACAACCUGCAAAACAGUACAACCAUCCACACAUUAAGGACUGACUUCAGAUCAGUGGGUCCAUUGACAUAAGGCAAUAAGAAACUGUACUCACACAGCGACAAUCACCAGCAUUCCCAACAAUGAUCUGGGUCUCUAGUUUACUGUUUAUUUCCUCUAGGUACAUCAAUUAAUUCAGUACAAAUUGUUAGCUUGCUGCUAGCUUGUGUAGGUACAACAAUGCUAUCAAUCAAUUAAUUCAGUCCGAGAAGUUAACAACAAGGUUGUUUAGGUACACCACCGGGACUGAAAUACUAAUCAGAAGAGUGAUUGAUACUUGUGGCUAAGAGUGAUCAUGCUGAGUGAAU
rnacentral:lncRNA from 1 species